rnacentral:rRNA from 1 species
CGCGCAGGCGGUUAUAUAAGCCUGGUGUGAAAUACUGCAGCUUAACUGCAGAACCGCACUGGGAACUGUAUGACUGGAGUUCAAGAGGGGAAGCUGGAAUUCCUGGUGUAGGGGUGAAAUCUGUAGAUAUCAGGAAGAACAUCAGUGGCGAAGGCGAGCUUCUGGCUAUGAACUGACGCUGAGGCGCGAAAGCGUGGGGAGCAAACAGGAUUAGAUACCCUGGUAGUC